CUGGGACCGGCUGAGGCCCGGCCGUGAGGGGAGCGCUCCGGGGAGCCCGUCUGAGGCCCGGCCUUGCAGGGUGUCCGGGUGCGCUCCGGUGCCAGGUGAACCCCGUGGCUGAGACUGUUUGCCGUAUCUCGGUCGCACCACAGUGCCCGGCUCCACAAUCCCAAUCUUUAUGAGGCAGAAGUGUCAUAUGACACAGGGAUGACUGCCAAAUGUCAGCCAGUUUUGACAUAAUGCCUUGGCAGAACACAGAGAUGCUCAGAAAGGAGACACAGUAUUAAUUCUACUAGAGAGACUGGGGCUGUGAGCUACCAUGGCAGUAGCACACACAACAGCCAGCCUGCUGCUCCGGAGGGAAUGACAGCUUCCGAGCCAUCCAGCAGAGACUGAGGGUCCCUCCUGUGCACAGAGACAGUCCUGCUCCACCGGGAAGCCAAUGAGCUGAACCUCAAGUCAAAAUUAAAGAGCUCAGGUGCUGGAUCAGGACCUUAUUAAAAGUGAGCAGGUAUCUUCAGUUGCUCCUUCUGCUGCCCUGUCAUUGUGGUUUUAUCUACUGCCAGUCUUUGACUAUCUCAAGUAACCAAGCAUCAGCGCUGCUGACAGCUGAUCAGGAAUUAGAGGGCUUCUUUCCAACGGCUUUACAGGAUACAGAAGAACUGUAGCAACACAAGACUGAAGUUACAGCCUUUGGGCAGUGGUGGCUCUUCUACAUCAUGGAACAUUUCUGCUCAGCUGCCUGUUUCAUCUCAGUGAAGGUGGCUUGCGCCUUCUCUUUGAUGGCAUCCAUGUCCAUAUUCUGGAUGUUCUGCAGCUGGCCCAGGAUAGAGUCCUUGUCUUCUUCCUCCUCCUGAUCUUCUGCCACCAUCUUCUGAAGGUCUUCUGGCAAUCCCACAUCAUCUCCAGCCAUCUGUAUUUGAUUCUCAUCCAAUUCACUCUAAAGCAGGAAACAAAACCAGCAAAUGUGGGACAUAAAUAAGCAAUACAGCAGCAACACCGUCCUUUUGCCAUUGAAGGGCUGCAAAUACCUUGCAAGUAGCUAUAAGGAGAC